AGCAGCCUGGCUGGGUACAUGCCCUCACUCAGAGACAUGUGGUUCACUGCCUGCAGACGUGAGUCAAAGUCCACCGCAAACGCCACCAGUUCCUCGCCCUCCAUCAUGUUCUUGGUGGUGGUGCACCACAGUUGGCCGCCUGGACAAAACGGAGAUGGAGGAGACAUUUAAAAGCUUGCUGCGAGAGUGGGGAAAGCUUUACUACAUGUACACGAGGCACUCUUCUCAUGCUCAAGCUGCAGCCGGUGGAUGUUUUGCUGUGAUCACGCAGAGAUGUCUCAGACAUGGCAGGGCAGCAUAGACGCCAGUCUGCCUAUACAUCCGUGCAGGCUCCCUCCCAGUCAUGAAUGUGAGACACUGAAGCAAGAAGUUUAUGGUACCUGCUACGUGAAGAUGCUGAGACAUCUAUCUGACCAGUUUGGGUCUCUCUCUAUCCUAC